rnacentral:lncRNA from 1 species
GUAUUUAUAACAGUUUCAAACCCCAAUUUUUUUUUUCAUUAGGAAUACAUACUUAUCCUAGAAAAAAAUAAUUUUCAUAAAUCUAAAAAGCAUACCGUAUACGGCGGAGGCCUUCAACCCCCACACCUCCCAAAUGUCGACUUUGAUAGCGAAUCUAUCUUUUUUACGCCUACAUCCGACCCAAUAACUCAUGGAUUUUUACUUGUGCACAGAAAUUUAAAACAUUUCCAGUGUUAACACGGUAAGAUUUUGUCCCUAUUACAAAGUUGAAGCCUUUUGUUUAUACAUAUUCGAAAUUUUUAACAUAUUAGAACUUAGUACACUUAAACCAAGUGAGAACAAAAAUACAAAUUGUGUUAUAUUUCAGAUGUACAUAGAAACAAAACAUAACUGAAAUCAAUUGUUUUAUGCUCCCGAUACAUUAGAUUCACUUAAACUUUCACUUAUGGUCUAAUAACUAGCAAGAAGAGCAAGUUUAGAUUACCGACAACGCUUGGAUAUUUGGCUAAUAACUAGCAAGAAGAGCAACGUUUAAAUUUUGGACCAACUAUACUGGAAACAAAAGGCGGUACCAGUCCUAAGAUAAUUAGUUUAGAUAUUAGGUUUCAACUGAGUUUGAUCAUGUUCAAAACUUUUAAAAUCUUGGAUUAAUGGUCAAGACGACGGAAGCCCAUUUGAUCGAGCCAGAUAUAUUUUGAGCUGAAAUUGGCAAACUCCAUACUAAAUAAAUUAUAAUAGCACACAGACAAUUAAACACAAUUAUUUCCUUUUGAAAACUGAAGAUUAACCAUCCACCGGACAUAUAUCAUAAAUUAAAAAUAUGCAUGUUUCCAAAAUCGAGUUGACGUGCGUAUCCAUCCUACAAACGGUUAAGGCAUCUUGGAUAUAUUGCAGUGUAUGUUAUUAAUCC